CCUCCCCCCACCCCGCCCUCCUUUUCUCUGAGUCUUAGACUCCGGUCCAGAAAAAAAAAAAGGUAGGGAGGAAGAGAAGGGAACGGAUAGGAGAGCUUCGGCUCCAGGUUUUCCUUCAGACCCAGAGGGAGCCUGGACCGUUUGGAAAUCCCGGGCCGGGGAAGUGAGGCGAGAUUUGAGUCUUGCAGCGUAGCAGGUCCCCAGGAGUCGAGGCGCCAUCUGCAGUCAGCUUUGCCUCAGGGAGCAGCCAGCCCAGUGGGCAGGCGCCGGGGUUUCCCACACGAGUUCCUACAAACUCUGGGGGGCGGAGGGAGAGGGUUUCAUUGUUCCUCUGGGACCUGUAUAUUUCACUCCUCACAAUUACCCGCACACCCCCAGAGCUUAAGCCCCUAGGAGGGUGUCUAAGUGUUGGGGGGGCGGUGUAGGAGGCGCUGGGGAGGGAACGACUCCGCCCCCUUCUUUCUUCUUGCUCCCGGGUCGUUGAGUGCUCACGCUGUGGUCCCGCCCCAUUCCCGGGGCCGGGCUCUAACCUCCCAGUGGAGGGAAAGGGGGGGAGGGGAGAGGUUGUCAUGGCGACGCGUGGGUGCGCGCGCCGGCCCUGGCCACGCGGGGCUAACUCCGAAUCGGAGCAACACUGUUUGCCGGUGAAAGGGUGGGAAGGGAAAAUAGUUUUCAAAGGGUGAAGCAUCUCUCCAGGUCUCACCUGCACCAUGUCCAGAGUCAGUGUUGAUAGGAAGCGUCGAAUGGCUUCUCGGUCAUCAGUCCAGUCUGGCCAAAGUUCCUGGACAAAUGCAAUCCCAGAACCGGAGCUUCCCAAGGAGGAAAUUUCCAUUGUGGAGGAUGAAAGCAGUUUAAAAUAUCCUUGGUCCCUGAGGUUGAUAUUUUCAGGAAUAAAAAAGCUGGAGACCUUAAAUGAAAGGAACAAUCAGAGAUAUAGUCCUGUUAGAGCUUCAAUAGUCUUUAGAAAUAAUAACUCUGCUGAGGAGAUAUGGGAGCCCAUCUAAGGAAGGGUGGAAGGGAGUAAACUUAACUACUAAAUCUGAAAGGAUUAAAACAUCCAAAGCAAUCCUGGAAUUGACUUUGUUUUCCUAGCCUCCCUAGACCUGGAAAGGCCCAAUCUAGUCCAUAGAGCAAAGAUUAAAACACUCUUCUCUCACUUCUCUUGUAAAGAUUAAAAUUUAGGGGAGACUGAGGCAGGUAGAAAUUAGUUUCUCUCUGCAAGGAGUAUUAUAUUUUUAGAGGUUUAUUAGAGAAUAAGGAUUAAAGAAAAUACAGGAUAAGAAAAAAACACAUGCCUAGGCCAGAGGCCUAGACAAGAUAACCUCACAUCAUGGAAGAGACUCCUCUGCUUCAAAAAAGGAAGUCCAAAAGCCUGAGCCCGCCUACGGGGAAGACCCUUUAAAUAAAAUUUUGUUCUCGUCCCA
rnacentral:lncRNA from 1 species